CCUACGGGAGACAGCAGUGAGGAAUAUUGGUCAAUGGGCGCGAGACUGAACCAGCCAAGUAGCGUGAAGGAUGACUGCCCUACGUGUUGUAAACUUCUUUUGUCAAGGAAUAAAGUGAGGCACGUGUGCCUGUUUGAAUGUACUUUAUGAAUAAGGAUCGGCUAAUUCCGUGCCAGCAGCCGCGGUAAUACGGAGGAUCCGAGCGUUAUCCGGAUUUAUUGGGUUUAAGGGGAGCGUAGGUGGGUUGUUAAGUCAGUUGUGAAAGUGUGCGGCUCAACCGUAAAAUUGCAAUUGAUACUGGCAGUCUCGAGUACAGUUGAGGUAGGCGGAAUUCGUGGUGUAGCGGUGAAAUGCUUAGAUAUCACGAAGAACUCCGAUUGCGAAGGCAGCUUACUAACCUGCCACUGACACUGAGGCUCGAAAGCGUGGGUAUCAAACAGGAUUAGAUACCCGAGUAGUC
rnacentral:rRNA from 1 species